AGAGUUUGAUUAUGGCUCAGAACGAACGCUGGUGGCGUGUCUUAUACAUGCAAGUCGAGCGAGGCAGCAAUGCCGAGCGGCGAACGGGUGAGUAACGCGUAAGCAAUCUGCCCCAUAUCAGGAAAUACCCGUGCCAACGCGCGGUUAAUGUCCAGGAGAGUGGCCCCCUGCAUGGAGGGUUGACUAGAGAUUUAUCGGUAUGGGAUGAGCUUGCGUCCGAUUAGCUAGUUGGCGGGGCAACGGCCCACCAAGGCGACGAUCGGUAGCCGGCCUGAGAGGGUGAUCGGCCACAUUGGGACUGAGAUACGGCCCAGACUCCUACGGGAGGCAGCAGUAGGGAAUAUUGCACAAUGGGGGAAACCCUGAUGCAGCAACGCCACGUGUGGGAAGAAGCAUUUCGGUGUGUAAACCACUGUCAUGAGGGAAUAAGGCCCGCCUUCGGACGGGAUUGAAUGUACCUUGAGAGGAAGCACCGGCAAACUUCGUGCCAGCCGCUGC
rnacentral:rRNA from 1 species